GAGUUUGAUCGUGGCUCAGAUUGAACGCUGGCGGCAGGCCCUAACACAUGCAAGUCGAGCGGAUGACGGGAGCUUGCUCCUUGAUUCAGCGGCGGACGGGUGAGUAAUGCCUGGAAUCUGCCUGGUAGUGGGGACAACGUUUCGAAAGGAACGCUAAUACCGCAUACGUCCUACGGAGAAAGCAGGGACCUUCGGGCCUUGCGCUAUCUAGAUGAGCCUAGGUCGGAUUAGCUAGUUGGUGGGGUAAUGGCUCACCAAGGCGACGAUCCGUAACUGGUCUGAGAGGAUGAUCAGUCACACUGGAACUGAGACACGGUCCAGACUCCUACGGGAGGCAGCAGUGGGGAAUAGUUGGACAAUGGGACGAAAGCCUGAUCCAGCCAUGCCGCGUGUGUGAAGAAGGUCUUCGGAUUG
rnacentral:rRNA from 1 species